AGAGUUUGAUCCUGGCUCAGAGCGAACGCUGGCGGCGUGCUUAACACAUGCAAGUCGAGUGCGCGCCUGUAGCAAUACAGGUGGCGCACGGCGCACGGGUGCGUAACACGUGGGUAAUCUGCCCUUCGAUGGGGAAUAACUCGCCGAAAGGCGAGCUAAUUCCGCAUAAUAUUCCGGGGACUUUGGUCCUUGGAUUCAAAGGCGUAAGUCGUCGGAGGAGGAGCCCGCGCACGAUUAGCUAGUUGGUGAGGUAAUGGCUCACCAAGGCUAUGAUCGUUAGCUGGUCUGAGAGGAUGGCCAGCCACACUGGAACUGAGACACGGUCCAGACUCCUACGGGAGGCAGCAGUGGGGAAUCUUGCACAAUGGGCGAAAGCCUGAUGCAGCGACGCCGCGUGGGGGAUGAAGCUUCUCGGAGUGUAAACCCCUUUCGACCCGGACGAAUGCCCCGCAAGGGGACUGACGGUACGGGUAUAAGAAGCCCCGGCUAACUACGUGCCAGCAGCCGCGGUAAGACGUAGGGGGCCAGCGUUGCUCGGAAUUACUGGGUGUAAAGGGUUCGUAGGCGGUGUGGCAAGUCGGGAGUGAAAUCUCUGGGCUCAACCCAGAGUCUGCUUCCGAAACUGCUGUGCUUGAGUGUGGGAGAGGCGCGUGGAAUUGCAGGUGUAGCGGUGAAAUGCGUAGAUAUCUGCAGGAACACCCGUGGCGAAAGCGGCGCGCUGGACCACUACUGACGCUGAGGAACGAAAGCUAGGGGAGCAAACAGGAUUAGAUACCCUAGUAGUCC
rnacentral:rRNA from 1 species